GGCCAAAACAACAAAAUACUCUCUCAAUUAUUUCUCAAAUGAACAAAUCAUCAUUUCAUUAUGUUUGUUUAAUAGUUGCGGAAAAUGAGUUUCCUUUUUACUAAUCUUAGGAUUUGGUGUCUCUUCUUUUUUUCUCUUUUUUUUUUGGGUCGAAUACUUGUUUCAUUGCAAGCCAAAAGAGAUUGUGCUCAGGCUUCACAGACAUGGUUGUAAACCGUCUUUGAUAGAGUUGUUCCGAAAUGAAUAAUAAUAUGAUCCAUAAUUUAUGGUACAGAAUUGCCCAUUUAAGAAUUAACAGAACGAAGAAAGAAAAAUGUGAAUGAUGGUAAUUUUCGGUGCAGGGAAUGGAGGUAAAUAUAUGAGGUGGGGUCGAAGAAGACUACUUGGUGAACAAGUUCAUGAAAGACUAGUUGGGGGAAAAGUUUCAAAAGCCUAUUGGAUAUAUCACCAUUUCUCCAAUCACAAACUCUAAAAUAUAAAGAAAGAAAAAAGAAACUCGUAGGUUGAGUUUGUCUAUAAAAUACAACUGCACUCUACUGAUGCCAUUGCUGCUUCUUCUUGCUUGUUAGAGAGAGAGAGAGAGAGAGAGAGAGAUGGACAGCUACUUCAGAUUCCUUCCCACUGAAGAGGAACUGGUGAGCCACUACUUGAGGGAGAAGAAACAGGUUGACCACAUCAUCCCUGAGAUUGAUAUCUGCAAGCACGAGCCUUGGGAUGUUCCUGGGCUGUAUGCAGGGCUGUUCACAGAGCCAGAGUCGCCAUAUCAGGAUAUGUUCUUCUUCAGCCCAAGGGUUUACAAGUACAACAACAGCGCUCGCAUCGAAAGGACCUCUGCGCUAGGCUUCUGGAAAAUCACAGGCAAAGAACGUGUGAUCAAGGCUCGAGGGUCCGCUGGGAGAAAGAAGACCUUGACCUUCUAUGAAGGUCGUGUGCGUCAAUCGAAGAAGACCAACUGGGUCAUGUACGAGUAUUAUCUUGUUGAAGAUGAAGCCAACCCUAAUCCUAAGCUGGCCCAGCAGGUAGGUACUUGUUAUGCAGAGGGAUUUUGUUCUCUGUCGCUUGAAGAAAAAAGCAGAUGAUAAAGAAGCACACUUCAAUCUAUGCUGAAGCUGAACCUGCAUAUGAUGAAUGACAAAGGAUUUCAGAGGAAUUUCAUCGGCCAGAAGAACGGGAAUUAAUCUUUCCUGCACUUCAUCAGCUACAGGAUUACAUGCUGCAGAUGAGCACAGAAGUGGGAGAUGUUUAGCAAUGAAAAUAACUAUAUUACUUGUAUGAGUGCUCCUGCUGCUACAUGACCUUCUGGAGUCUCAUGUAUAUGUAUUAGUAUUAAAUCUAUCUGUAUCACCUUCAGUCUCAAGAACACUCUACCCCCUACAACCGAAUAUUAUAUGUAUUGGAUCUAAUUUUCUUUUCAA